rnacentral:rRNA from 1 species
GUGCACCAGGCGCGAAACUCCGCAAUACACGAAAGUGUGACGGGCCAUCCCGAGUGCCGUCCGCUGAGGACGGCUUUCCCCAGUGUACAUAGCUGGGGGAAUAAGGAGAGGGCAAGCCUGGUGUCAGCCGCCGCGGUAAUACCAGCUCUCCGAGUGGUGGGGACGCUUAUUGGGCCUAAAGCAUCCGUAGCCGGCUGGGCAAGUCCUCCGUUAAAUCCAACGAUUCAAUCGUUGGGCUGCGGGGGAUACUGUCCAGCUUGGGGGCGGGAGAGGCCGACGGUAUUCCCGGGGUAGGGGUGAAAUCCUAUAAUCCCGGGAGGACCACCAGUGGCGAAGGCUGUCGGCUAGAACGCGCCCGACGGUGAGGGAUGAAAGCUGGGGGAGCGAACCGGAUUAGAUA